rnacentral:rRNA from 1 species
UACAGAGGGUGCAAGCGUUGUUCGGAAUUAUUGGGCGUAAAGCGCACGUAGGCGGUUUGUUAUGUCGGAUGUGAAAGCCCUUGGCUCAACUGAGGAAGUGCAUCCGAAACUGGCAAGCUAGAGUACUAAAGAGGGUCGCGGAAUUCCCGGUGUAGAGGUGAAAUUCGUAGAUAUCGGGAGGAACACCGGUGGCGAAGGCGGCGACCUGGGUAGAUACUGACGCUGAGGUGCGAAAGCGUGGGGAGCAAACAGG